UUUUUUUUUUUUUUUUUUUUUUUUUUUUUUUNGGCUCCCAGGCUGGGGGUCAAAUCAGAGCUAUAGCCACUGGCGUAUGCCACAGUCACAGCAAUGCCAGAUAUGAGCUCCAUCUGCAGCCUACACCAUAGCUCAAGGGAAUGCCAGAUCCUUAUCCCACUGAUGAGGCCAGGGAUCAAAUCUGCAUCCUCAUGGAUGCUAGUCAGAUUCGUUUCUGCUAAGCCAUGAUGGGAACUCCAGUUUUCUGGAAUUUACUAUGAUAGCCAAGAGCCUUUGAUGAGCAAAAUUGUUGAAAAGACAACUACGGUGGAGCUGAGGAAACUUGGUCUGAAUUAUCUUGCUAAACAUGUUUCCUCUUUUAUGAACAUUAUAAAAUGCUUUAAAAAGUUGUCAUACUCAAAAUAAAUAAUUUGUAUAAAUGAGGUUGGUAAAAUCUUUUUGAAGUCUGUUAAUAAGCUCAGUGACACAUGACAUGACAUCAGAGCACAAACCCCAAUACUGAAAUUAUGGAGAAACAGAAAAGAACAUGAUUCAAAAAUGACUUCUAAGGCCUGUGGCAUUACGACAAGAAACAAGGGCAGCCAAUAACCAUAACAAAGAUCAUAUUAGUAUGGGAAAGGGCUAUUUAGCUUGGGAAGGAGAAGGAUGGAGGGAAAAAGUAAACAUUUUAAUCAAAUCCAAUACUCUGUUAUUGAUUUCUCUUUGCCAGACAUACCUUGUAGAAUACUUAUAAUGCUUUUGACUUUGAAAUAUUUGGCCGAAGCUAUUGGAUUAGCCAAGGUAAAAGCUCUGCUUCUGGUGUAAUCUCUUGUAUUUCAUUUAUAUGUGAUUUAUUCCUUUCUCCACAAAAAGGUUCUUUUUAUUGAUAAAAUAGAUGAAACUGAGAAUCCCAAAGGGAAUUUGAUGUCCACCCACACAAAACAGGUUUGCAAAGUGUAAGUAGCAGGCAAGAAAAAGAUUCAAGUACAUGAAAAUUGUGAGUUUCUUCUCUUCCUUUUAUUUUCUUUUUUCUUUUCUUUUGUUUUCUUUUAUGUUGCAAAGUCAAUACUAGACAGAUUUUCUGUCCUUUUAUGUGUUAGUCAAUUAAUUAUCCUUGAAGCUUUAAAUUAUUGAAAGCAAUGUCCCUACACUUGAAAUGCAGAGGUUUGUUAUUUAAAAAAAUUAAUGUCACUUACUGUCAUUAAGGUUGCACCUGCUUAGGUUGGAAACGUUCACUCAAUGUCAUAUCUGCAAAGGUUUUUAAAGUAAACUCUCUACCAGAAAAAUUGGUAUUAUCUUAUUUGCUUCAUUAAAGUUAGGACAAUUGUCAAAAAAUAUCUUGACAAGCCUUAAAGGUGUCUUAUUUUAAUAGUCUCAGUAGGGUUUUGUAUCAGGCUGAGUUACCACAGCUUCCCCAAUGUUUUAAAAUAAUGUCCUGGUUAAUAUUUAAUAAUGUAAUAUUAAAUAUUAUAUAUAAAUAGUAGGUCUUACUGAGUUUUGUGUCAAAGAUAUUAAAUACAGAGAAAACAUGAUUUUAUAAACAUAAAAUGAGAAUAAUUCCUAAUAAAUAUACAUCAGACUCAUUUUUAUUUAGUGUCAAAGUGAUGGACUGGGAAGAAAAAUAAGCGAUAGGGCUUGGUUCUUGCACAUUUGGUUUUAGUCUGGAGUCCGUAUUUAAUAUUCAGACCAUGAGAAUGUUCUCACUCUAAGAACAUCAUUCCUCAGAGACCAAUCCCUCCUGUUUUAACUCUAAGACCCAAAAUAGGCAAAUCAAAAGUUUCAAAGUUAAAUCAGCAUGAGAAUAAGAACUAGGGUCUAGUUUGUAAUCCACUGCAAUCACUCUUCUGAACCCUAUGAUCGUAAAAGCCUCAUUGUCAAAUGUGCACAUAUUCCCUCCAUAUCUGACCUCACACCUAAGUGAUGCUGACCAUGUCAUUUAACCCUCUUUCGUGCAUGUCUUUUUCUCCUGGCUUCCUCAGAUCCAUUCUGUCCUGGCUCAUCUCCUGCUGCCUGGCACCUCCUUCAUAGACUCUUAUUUUAAAUCAUCUCUUUUUCUCCCUUUGCACAUUUUGUUUCAAUUAGUUCAUCUAUCCUUAAUCAUUCCUCACAUUGCAGGGCUUCCAUAUAAUUUAUCAGUCAAUUUGGAGCAAUUUUUAGAGUAAGGGGGUGCUAUUAAUAAUUCUAUACAGAUAGCAGGUAGAAACUGGGAUUUUCUCGGAAUAGACAAUCCAUUCAUAUGAAAUGAUAGAAUGCAAAAACGAAUUCAACUGUCCACCUCUUCCUGUAUCCAAGCCCUUGACCUUGUGAGGCAGAAUAACUCAGGUAGUUAAUGUAGGAACAUGAGCUUUGAUAUAUUCCUUGAUAUGCUCAUUAAUUAACAUCUGUAACUUAAGGGUCCAGGGAAUAAUAUCCCCACUGGCCUUGUUUACUCCAGAGUAUAUCUGUUUUACAAACAGGUGGAUGUUAAUCUCUAACCCACUCCUCAACUGAUAGAAAAGGAAUGAGAGGAAGGGAGGGAGACUCCCAGCAACUCACAGUCUAGGGAAAAGAAGAACAAAGACACCAUAAACCUUAAGGGGCAUAUCCACCUCUAAGACCCCUAUCGGACAAGGACUGAUACAGGAUUGAUAUUGACAAUUAGAAAUCUUUGAUAAUGAUUUGAUUACUGAUAUAGGUAAACAGGGCAAGGCCAGUGGGAAAAAGAACUGAUAUCUGGGUCCCACGUUGGUACUCUAGUCUUUAAGAAAUAAAACCCCCUUAGAAAAUUAGAGGAGGGGGAUUCCUCCCCCCAGUGUCUUUGCUGGGAGCUAUUUGCUUUCCUGUAAUAGACUUUUUGCUUCUUACUGUGUGCUGUGUGUUUGUGAAGUUCAUCCUUGGGCUCCAUGAAUAAGAACCUGGAUUCCAGUAACAUCUUUCUGGUAACACUUGUUACUCUGUAGUCCAUACCCUCUCUUACUCUGGGUUUUGGCCAAUAUAAUAAGAAGGAAAUUACAUCAUGCUCAUUCCAGCAUAGUCCCCAAGAGAACAUGCACAAGACUGUCGGUGCUCUUACAAAGUUGAACUUGCUUGUCUUUGUACCUGAGCUUCUCUGUAAGAACACAUCCAAACUAGCCUAUGGGAAGGAUGUGAGAAGCAUGUAGAGGGUGAGACAUCUAGAAGAUUUUGAAGGCACUCCAAUAAUACUAACAGAAGUUGAGCCACCAGAGGACUUGGCCUAAAAGCAGAUACAGGCAAGAGGCCAGUUGAAAUCAGAUCUUCCCAGAUAAGCCCAGUAUUAAAUGAUAACCUACAAAAUUAUGAGCUGAAGAAAUAAUUCUUGUAUUAAUAGCUAAAUACAUAUAAAGUGUUUUAUUAUGCAACACUAUUGUGGCAGUAGAUAACUCAUAUACUAUCAAAUCAUAUCUCUCCUAAGAUUCAGAUUCACAUACUGAAUAUCUUUACCUAAAAGUUCUAAGGAUAUUUCAAACUAAAUAAACCCAAGAUAAAGUUAUAAAAUUUUCAAAAAUCCCUUUACAUGUGUAUACACACACACCAUACACACACAUACAUAUAUAUAAUCUCAGAAGCCCAGUUUUACAUGUUGAAAAUCUGGACCAUAUUAAUUAUUCAAUAUUUCCUAAUUCUGAUAGGGAGAAUUAUUCUUAGUGUACCUAUCUUUUCUAUACCUUUAUAAAUCAUGUUUCUUCUAUCACUACUCACUAGGCCUUAGCCUUUUUCGGUCAGGGGUCUAGCAAGAGACUUCAGCCCUAAUGCCCUAAUAUACACAUUGAAUGUACUACAUUUAUUUACCUCCUAUAGAUGCAGAAAUCCAGGUUUAGAGAACUGAGAAAGUAUCACACAAAUAAUUUAUGUAGGGUUUAAUUCCCUUAAAGAAUCCAGAUUAAAAAAGGUUGGUAGGUUGGUAGAUCUUUCUUAGUUUUCACCUGGACUAUGCUAAUAGUUUACUUGACUAUUCUACCUUUAGACUCACCUUCUAAUUGGUCCACCAUAAGUUAUGAUUUGCUUUAGCCUUUGCCACUGUUUAUCAUCUGCGAGUGAACUGUAUUUAAGAAAAGAAGUUCGGAGUUCCUAUAGUGGCUCAGCAGUUAGCAAACCCGACUAGCAUCCAUGAGGAUGUGGGUUUUAUCCCUGGCCUCACUCAGUGGGUUAAGGAUCUGACAUUGCCAUGAGCUGUGGUGUGGGUCACAGACAUGGUUCAGAUUCUGUGUUGCUGUGGGUCUGGCGUAGGCUGGCAGCUACAGUUCCAAUUGAACCCCUAGCCUGGGAACCUCCAUAUGCCGUCAGUGCAGCCCUAAAAAGACAAAAAGACCAAAAAAAAAAAAUUUAAAAUUUAAAAAUUUGGAAAAGAAAACAGGUUUGAUUCUCUCCAACACGGAUGCUAACAAAAUUAAAUAAUGGUAUAUUUAAUAUAUUCCUAAUACCUUUUUAUUGCCUAUCUUGCUAUUGAUCAGUAACAAUACUUUUUAAAUUUGCUUCUGUCAUGUUACUGUCUUCAUGAUGGCUAUUAUCACUCUAUGACUGUGCUGAGUAUUUGAUACAGACUUUGAAAAGAGUUGAAAAUAAAUGGAAGAGCCAUGCCAUGACCAGUUUACCCAUAUGGGUGUACAUCAAUGCACAUUGUAGAUCCAGAAUGACAAAUCUCAACUUGAGAGCUUAAUGUUGUCUUCCAAGGUGUUACAUCCUCUCAGUUAGAAUGUUUUCAUAUAUAUUAUAAUGUCUUUUUGAGGUGAGACCUGUGAGCUUUUCUGAUAUUCCUGGAGCAACAAAAUUUUGUACAAUCUGCAGUAACUUGCCAAGGUUUCCUCUGUAAUUUAAUCAGGCCAUCAAUCAGCAAGGUUAGAUCAUAAGCUAAUAUUUCUUUAUACCUUAUAUACAGUUGAAUGAUUUUUUUGGUUUAACCAGAGGCAAAAUGUUAGUUCCUCAUGACAUUUAACAGUUCCUGAAGUCAUUAUUUUGACAGCAUCUAUUUGACCUGAGAAACUUCUUGCCUACGGAAAUAGUCUUAGGGCAAAAUUUGCUUACAUAAAAACUCAAGAAUGAAAGUGACCUUAAAGGUGAAUUUUAAUCAUCUAUUAAAAAUAAAUGCAGGCUUCUGAGUAAGAUGAUGCUAUGGAUCCACACCUCUAACUCCCCGACCCAGAGUUUAUAGGAAUGACCAGGAAAAAAAGAAAACAAGGAAUGAACACACUAAGAUUAAAACCAAGAAAAUUGCCAUCAGAUGCCCAGAAGCUCAAGGAGUGUCUUCUAAAUAUAUUACAGACCAAAUUGGCUGGAAGAAUGCAUAAAGGUAUGGUUUGGAAUUUUUAAAAGAGCAGCAUUAAGAACUAUUCAAAAAAAGAUCUUAGAAAAUCUCAUUAAAACCUCCUUAGAGAACAGAGGGGAAUUUAUGGAACUAGACUUGAUAAUAUGCAGAAGGUCAUUGCAGUAAGGGGUGUUUUCUGGAACAAUUGUCUAAAGUAUAGCAGAAUGCCCAGUGGGGGAGCUCCCUCUAGAUUUGAAUGAAUCAAAAAUCUCAGAAGAUGGCCUUCCUUUUGGGAAAAUGACUAAGAGAAACAGAAAGCACAGAAGCUUUAAGGUUUCUUUUUGAAAAGGGCAUGUAAAAUAAUUGGAAAAAUCAGUACACUUAGACCAGUUUUCAAUAGAGUUAUUUCUUCAUCUUUUUUUCCCCCUUAAACCAGAAGAUAUUUGAAAUGAUGCUAAAAGUCAGAAGGGGACAAUUCUAAAGAAUCAGAAAAAAUAACUCUCUCUGAAACCCAUUCACUAACAAAGAAAAGAGAAAUAGCUAGAAAACUGCUGCAUCAUAUUUCCAAAAUGCUCAAGACAACUUAGAAUCUAUGAAGUUAGAGAAAGUAGAGGUGGGAUAGGAAAAAUCUGAAAUGAGGAUCAUGUAGUGCUUCCAGGGAUGUGGGUAUUUGUAAAUAUGGGACACAGGAUGACACACCCGACUCAAGAAAGGAAUAUAUAUAUAUAUGCUGAAUAUAUAUUUUAAUAUGUCAGUUCCGUGUGAUCAAAUGUUUUCUGCUAAUGGGAUAAGUAUCACUUAUGGCUCACUCAUCUAGAAGUAUGGGUAGGCCAUUGACAACUUCUUAGUUUCUUCAGGUAAAGCAAGUGUCAUCAUUUCUUGAACAUGCAUCAUUAGCUAGCUGAAGACCCAAGGGAGUUUAGGGUGGUAGCACUAGGAGUAUCCCUUCCAAGCUAUCUCAAUCUUAUAACUCAGGUUGAAAAAAAAAAUGGAUGUGAACUACUGUAUUCUGUUAAGCCUGUCGAGUAUGAAUCCAUGACCUAAAUAUUUUAUUUAUGUGAAAACCAAGUAUUCUCCUGCCAUGUAAUAAGUCAGACUAGAGUCAAAUCUUGGUCUCUGGCAAAAACAGCAAGA
rnacentral:lncRNA from 1 species